UCUUCUGAUCUUUCCUGGUGAAACACUGAGUGACACAGAACAGACAGAAACCCAAAUCAGGCAGGCAUCAGACAGUGUCUUUAUAAGCUUCAGUCUCUCUUCUCCUCUCACUCCAACCCUGCUCACCUCUCAGCUGGACAGUGAGGGACGUUUACACCACACACUGACAACAUGCUGGGGAUCCUCUGCACUCUCAUCACUGCUCUAACAUGUGUGAGUGGUGUGACGGUGGUGACACAGAAGCCUCCUGUUGUGACGGUGAGGAAAGGAGAGACAGUCACCAUGGACUGUAACCUGGGGACUGUUACUAACUAUCCGGCUCGCUGGUAUAAACAGACUCCUGGAGGAGUUCCUCAGUUUGUACUGAGCUUUUAUCACGGUUGGAGCUCUGUGAGAUAUGGCUCUGGUUUCUCCUCUCCAAAGUUCACAUCCACUCAUCAGUCAACAUCAGAUUAUCGUUUGACCAUCAACAAUGUGGAGGAGGGAGACUCAGCAGUCUAUUACUGUCAGACAUGGGAUACCUCUGCCUCAGCAGCUGUAUCACAGUGA